ACGAACGCUGGCGGCGUGCCUAAUACAUGCAAGUCGCACGCUUCUUUCCUCCCGAGUGCUUGCACUCAAUUGGAAAGAGGCGUGGCGGACGGGUGAGUAACACGUGGGUAACCUACCCAUCAGAGGGGGAUAACACUUGGAAACAGGUGCUAAUACCGCAUAACAGUUUAUGCCGCAUGGCAUAAGAGUGAAAGGCGCUUUCGGGUGUCGCUGAUGGAUGGACCCGCGGUGCAUUAGCUAGUUGGUGAGGUAACGGCUCACCAAGGCCACGAUGCAUAGCCGACCUGAGAGGGUGAUCGGCCACACUGGGACUGAGACACGGCCCAGACUCCUACGGGAGGCAGCAGUAGGGAAUCUUCGGCAAUGGACGAAAGUCUGACCGAGCAACGCCGCGUGAGUGAAGAAGGUUUUCGGAUCGUAAAACUCUGUUGUUAGAGAAGAACAAGGACGUUAGUAACUGAACGUCCCCUGACGGUAUCUAACCAGAAAGCCACGGCUAACUACGUG
rnacentral:rRNA from 1 species